CUGUCUGGGAGGUGAGGAGUGUCUCUGCCCGGCCGCUCCGUCUGAGAAGUGAGGAAACCCUCUGCCUGGCAACCGCCCCGUCUGAGAAGUGAGGAGCCCCUCCGUCUGGCAACCACCCCGUCUGGGAAGUGAGGAGCGUCUCCGCCCGGCAGCCACCCCGUCCGGGAGGGAGGUGGGGGGGGUCAGCCCCCCGCCCGGCCAGCCGCCCCGUCCGGGAGGUGAGGGGCGCCUCUGCCCGGCCGCCCCUACUGGGAAGUGAGGACCCCUCUGCCCGGCCAGCCGCCCCGUCCGGGAGGGAGGUGGGGGGAACAGUCCCCCGCCCGGCCAGCCGCCCUAUCCAGGAGGUGAGGGGCGCCUCUGCCCGGCCGCCCCUACUGGGAAGUGAGGAGCCCCUCUGCCUGGCCAGCCGCCCCGUCCGGGAGGGCGGUGGGGGGGUCAGCCCCCCUCCCGGCCAGCCGCCCCAUCUGGGAGGUGAGGGGCACUUCUGCCGGGCCGCCCCUACUGGGAAGUGAGGAGCCCCUCUGCCCGGCCACGACCCCGUCUGGGAGGUGUGCCCAGCGGCUCAUUGGGGAUGGGCCAUGAUGACAAUGGCGGUUUUGUGGAAUAGAAGGGCGGGAAGGGUGGGGAAAAAAUUGAGAAAUCGGAUGGUUGCGGGGUCUGUGUGGAUAGAAGUAGACAUGGGAGACUUUUCAUUUUGUUCUGUACUAAGAAAAAUUCUUCUGCCUUGGGAUCCUGUUGAUCUGUGACCUUAUCCCCAACCCUGUGCUCUCUGAAACAUGUGCUGUGUCCACUCAGGGUUAGAUGGAUUGAGGGCGGUGCAAGAUGUGCUUUGUUAAACAGAUGCUUGAAGGCAGCAUGCUCGUUAAGAGUCAUCACCACUCCCUAAUCUUAAGUACCCAGGGACACAAACACUGCGGAAGGCCGCAGGGUCCUCUGCCUAGGAAAACCAGAGACCUUUGUUCACUUGUUUAUCUGCUGACCUUCCCUCCACUAUUGUCCUAUGACCCUGCCAAAUCCCCCUCUGCGAGAAACACCCAAGAAUGAUCAAUAAAAAUAAAAAAUAA
rnacentral:lncRNA from 1 species